rnacentral:rRNA from 1 species
GAUGAACGCUGGCGGCGUGCCUAAUACAUGCAAGUCGAGCGAACAGACGAGGAGCUUGCUCCUCUGACGUUAGCGGCGGACGGGUGAGUAACACGUGGAUAACCUACCUAUAAGACUGGGAUAACUUCGGGAAACCGGAGCUAAUACCGGAUAAUAUAUUGAACCGCAUGGUUCAAUAGUGAAAGACGGUUUUGCUGUCACUUAUAGAUGGAUCCGCGCCGCAUUAGCUAGUUGGUAAGGUAACGGCUUACCAAGGCAACGAUGCGUAGCCGACCUGGGAGGGUGAUCGGCCACACUGGAACUGGGACACGGUCCAGACUCCUACGGGAGGCAGCAAUAGGGAAUCGUCCGAGAUGGGCGGAAGCUUGACGGAGCAACGCCGCGUGAGUGAUGAAGGUCUUCGGAUCGUAAAACGCUGUUAUUAGUGAAGAACAAAUGUGUAAGUAACUAUGCACGUCUUGACGGUACCUAAACAGAAAGCCACGGCUAACUACGUG